AUCAACUUUCGAUGGUAGGAUAGAGGCCUACCAUGGUGGUAACGGGUAACGGGGUGUUAGGGCACGACACCGGAGAGGGAGCCUGAGAAACGGCUACCACAUCCAAGGAUGGCAGCAGGCGCGCAAAUUACCCAAUCCCGACACGGGGAGGUAGUGACAAUAAAUAACAAUACGGGGUUCUUUAGGAUCUCGUAAUUGGAAUGAGUACAAUUUAAAUCUCUUAACGAGGAACAAUUGGAGGGCAAGUCUGGUGCCAGCAGCCGCGGUAAUUCCAGCUCCAAUAGCGUAUAUUAAAGUUGUUGCAGUUAAAAAGCUCGUAGUUGAAUUUCGGGGUUAGUAGGUUGGUCAUGCCUCUGGUAUGUACUGGUCUCACUGAUUCCUCCUUCCUUAUGAACCGUAAUGCCAUUAAUUUGGUGUUGCGGGGAAUUUGGACUGUUACUUUGAAAAAAUUAGAGUGUUUAAAACAAGCUAACGCUUGAAUACAUUAGCAUGGAAUAAUGAAAUAGGACGUUCGAUCUUAUUUUGUUGGUUUCUAGGAUUGACGUAAUGAUUAAUAGGGAUAGUUGGGGGCAUUAGUAUUCAAUUGCCAGAGGUGAAAUUCUUGGAUUUAUUGAAGACUAACUACUGCGAAAGCAUUUGCCAAGGAUGUUUUCAUUAAUCAAGAACGAAAGUUAGGGGAUCGAAGACGAUCAGAUACCGUCGUAGUCUUAACCAUAAACUAUGCCGACUAGGGAUCGGAUGAUGUUAAUUUUUUAAUGACUCAUUCGGCGCCUUACGGGAAACCAAAGUGUUUGGGUUC
rnacentral:rRNA from 1 species